rnacentral:rRNA from 1 species
UCGUGGGAGUUGACCCCUGCGGACUCGGAGCUAACGCGAUAAGUACCGCGCCUGGGAAGUACGGUCGCAAGAUUAAAACUCAAAGGAAUUGACGGGAGCCCGCACAAGCGGUGGAUUAUGUGGUUUAAUUCGAAGCAACGCGCAGAACCUUACCUAGGUUUGACAUCCUUUGACAACUACAGAGAUGUAGCUUUCAUAGCAAUAUGACAAAGAGACAGGUGCUGCAUGGCUGUCGUCAGCUCGUGUGGUGGCAUGUCGGGUUAAGUCCCUCAACGAGCGCAACCCCUGUGUUUAGUUGCCAGCAUUAAGUUGGGCACUCUAGACAGACUGCCGUGGUUAACACGGAGGAAGGCGGGGAUGACGUCAAGUCCUCAUGGCCCUUACACCUAGGGCGACACACGUAAUACAAUGGUUGAUACAGAGGGAUGCGAAACCGCGAGGUGGAGCAAAUCCCAAAAAGUCAAUCUCAGUUCGGAUUGGAGUCUGCAACUCGACUCCAUGAAGGCGGAAUCGCUAGUAAUCGCGGAUCAGCACGCCGCGGUGAAUACGUUCCCGGGCCUUGUACACACCGCC